AUUGAACGCUGGCGGCAGGCCUAACACAUGCAAGUCGAGCGGAUGAAGGGAGCUUGCUCCUGGAUUCAGCGGCGGACGGGUGAGUAAUGCCUAGGAAUCUGCCUGGUAGUGGGGGAUAACGUCCGGAAACGGGCGCUAAUACCGCAUACGUCCUGAGGGAGAAAGUGGGGGAUCUUCGGACCUCACGCUAUCAGAUGAGCCUAGGUCGGAUUAGCUAGUUGGUGGGGUAAAGGCUUACCAAGGCGACGAUCCGUAACUGGUCUGAGAGGAUGAUCAGUCACCCUGGAACUGAGACACGGUCCAGACUCCUACGGGAGGCAGCAGUGGGGAAUAUUGGACAAUGGACGAAAGCCUGAUCCAGCCAUGCCGCGUGUGUGAAGAAGGUCUUCGGAUUGUAAAGCACUUUAAGUUGGGAGGAAGGGCAGUAAGUUAAUACCUUGCUGUUUUGACGUUACCAACAGAAUAAGCACCGGCUAACUUCGUG
rnacentral:rRNA from 1 species